rnacentral:rRNA from 1 species
GAUGAACGCUGGCGGCGUGCCUAAUACAUGCAAGUCGAGCGAACAGAUAAGGAGCUUGCUCCUUUGACGUUAGCGGCGGACGGGUGAGUAACACGUGGGUAACCUACCUAUAAGACUGGGAUAACUUCGGGAAACCGGAGCUAAUACCGGAUAACAUUUGGAACCGCAUGGUUCUAAAGUGAAAGAUGGUUUUGCUAUCACUUAUAGAUGGACCCGCGCCGUAUUAGCUAGUUGGUAAGGUAACGGCUUACCAAGGCGACGAUACGUAGCCGACCUGAGAGGGUGAUCGGCCACACUGGAACUGAGACACGGUCCAGACUCCUACGGGAGGCAGCAGUAGGGAAUCUUCCGCAAUGGGCGAAAGCCUGACGGAGCAACGCCGCGUGAGUGAUGAAGGGUUUCGGCUCGUAAAACUCUGUUAUUAGGGAAGAACAAAUGUGUAAGUAACUGUGCACGUCUUGACGGUACCUAAUCAGAAAGCCACGGCUAACUAUGUG